GACGAACGCUGGCGGCGUGCUUCACACAUGCAAGUCGAACGGGGAUGCAGCAAAAGCUUGCUUUUAUUGCAUCCUAGUGGCGGACGGGUGAGUAACACGUGAGCAACCUGCCCGACAUACUGGGAUAACAGCGGGAAACCGUUGCUAAUACCGGAUACUCCACUUCUGGCGCAUGUCAGAGAUGGGAAAGGGUUUACCGAUGUCGGAUGGGCUCGCGUCCCAUUAGCUGGUUGGUGAGGUAACGGCUCACCAAGGCUGCGAUGGGUAGCUGGUCUGAGAGGACGAUCAGCCACACUGGAACUGAGAGACGGUCCAGACUCCUACGGGGUGCAGCAGUGGGGAAUAUUGCACAAUGGGCGAAAGCCUGAUGCAGCGACGCCGCGUGGAGGAUGAAGGCCUUCGGGUCGUAAACUCCUGUCUGGGGGGAUGAACACUGACAGUACCCCCGGAGGAAGCCCCGGCUAACUACGUGCCAGCCGCCGCCGUAA
rnacentral:rRNA from 1 species